rnacentral:rRNA from 1 species
GAGGAGGAGCCCGGAGAUGGGCACUGAGACAAGGGCCCAGGCCCCAUGGGGCGCAGCAGGCGCGAAACCUCUGCAAUAGGCGAAAGCCUGACAGGGUUACUCUGAGUGAUUCCCGCUAAGGGAAUCUUUUGGCAUCUCUAAAAAUGGUGCAGAAUAAGGGGUGGGCAAGUCUGGCGUCAGCCGCCGCGGUAAUACCAGCACCCCGAGUGGUCGGGACGAUUAUUGGGCCUAAAGCAUCCGUAGCCGGUCUUGCAAGUCUUCCGUUAAAUCCAGCUGCUUAACAGAUGGGCUGCGGAGGAUGCUACAAGGCUAGGAGGCGGGAGAGGCAAGCGGUACUCAGUGGGUAGGGGUAAAAUCCUCUGAUCCAUUGAAGACCACCAGUGGCGAAGGCGGCUUGCCAGAACGCGCUCGACGGUGAGGGAUGAAAGCUGGGGGAGCAAACCGGAUUAGAUACCCGGGUAGUCCCAGCUGUAAACGAUGCAGACUCGGUGAUGGGCCGGCUUUAUGCCGGCUCAGUGCCGCAGGGAAGCCGUUAAGUCUGCCGCCUGGGGAGUACGGUCGCAAGACUGAAACUUAA